rnacentral:tRNA from 2 species
AGCCUCGUAGCUCAGGUGGUUAGAGCACUACACUGAUAAUGUAGGGGUCGGCAGUUCGAGUCUGCCCGAGGCUACCA